rnacentral:rRNA from 1 species
ACGGAGGAUCCAAGCGUUAUCCGGAUUUACUGGGCUUAAAGGGUGCGUAGGCGGAUUGAUAAGUCAGAGGUGAAAGCCUACAGCUUAACUGUAGAACUGCCUUUGAUACUGCAAGUCUGGAGUGUGGGUGAGGAAAAUGGAAUGCGUCGUGUAGCGGUGAAAUGCGUAGAGAUUAGGAAGAACACCAGUGGCGAAGGCGAUUUUCUGGACUGUAACUGACGCUGAGGCGCGAAAGCGUGGGGAGCAAACAG